rnacentral:tRNA from 1 species
ACCUGGCUGGCUCAGUCAGUAGAGCAUCUGACUCUUGAUCUCAGGGUCAUGAGUUCAAGCUUUAUGUUAGGCA